rnacentral:lncRNA from 1 species
GGGGCCCUGAGUCAUCGCCGCCCCCGGCCCCGACGCUGGCCUGCGGCGUCUGUUUGUGCAGAGCGAGGCCCCGCCGGCCGGGCUUGACGUCAGGCUGGCAGGGCCUGGAACGGCCCCGCAUCGCGGCCCCCUGGGGGCAGGACGACACCGCUGGGGGCCGAGGGCAGGGCACGCCUUCGGAAUCCGGCUUCGAAGCCGGCCGCCUGACCUGGGGCAAGUGCUUUCAACUCUCUGAACUUCGGUUCCUCAUCUGCCAGUUGGCAGACGCUCAGCAAAUCUUCCUAGACUCACGGGGCGAAUUGUACAGUUGGGUAAAUCGAGGCCCAGAGAUGGCAAAAGGACCGUCCAAGGUCGUACAGCCACCCGGAAUUACAAUUCUUUUCUGCCGGGUCACACGCUGUCAUCCACGUGUUACCUAAGAGAGCUUUCCAGCCUGUGCUAAGAAAACUGCCCCACAUCAUCUGCAGUAGGACGGGGGAGUUGGAGCCCUGGUCAGGCCACUCUGCUACUGACCACAGUUUUCUCAUCUCUAAAAAGGCGCAGUAACAAUAUAAUUACCGUAUGCAGUCCCCCAGGAUACAGGGUCAAAGGAGAGCACAACCAUCGCAGUUGGAAGCCCAUGGGGCAGGGCCCAGGACACAGUGAGCAUACAAUAGACAUUAGCUGCUGUGGUGUCUUGAUUUCAAGCCCAGUGCAGAUGCAUCUGACUUACGAAACUUCAGUGACACCUGCUCUGUGCCAGACACUGAAGAUGGAGCAGUGAACAGCACUGACCCAGCCUGUCCUCCUGUUGCCUGCAGGCCAGAAGCAAGGUCUCGCUGUGUUACCCUGGCUGGAGUGCAGUGGCUACUUACAGGCAUGAUCAUAGCAUACUGCAGCCUCGAACUCCUGGACUAGAGCAGUUCUCCUGCCUCAGCCUCCAGAGCAGCUGGGACUGCAGACACGCACCACAGAGCCCAGCCUGAGUCAUUUUGAUUCUGUAACUGGCUUCCUCUCGGCGGGCAGGCUCACACCCUCCACCCCCAGCUGGAGAUGGAAGGAGGAUGCUCACCGCCCAUUCCUCAUGCAGGCCAUCGAUGGAAAUGUCAGACAGUGCGAGUCCACGCCUGAACACUUCUGGGGUCCGCUCUGGGACUGACACUGGCAGAUCCAUCGAUGCCGUUCCAUUGUUUGCUGACUUUCAUUGAUUCUAUGAGAAGUCUGCAGUCUUUUGCAGCGUUGUUUUCCUAUGUAUAAUUGUCUCCUCCCACCCCACUCACCCCAGCUGCUUUCCACAUUCUCUCUCUUUGAUUUUCAGCAGUCUGCCCAUGAUGUGCCUAAAUAGGACUUUCUUUGCAUUCAUCUUGGCUGGGGCUCACUGAACUUUCUGAAUCUGUAGAUUAAUUUUCUUUUUUCAAUAAACCUUGGAAUAUUUUCAGCAUAAU